GUCUUUUUGAAUUUAAUUUAAAGUCUGACCUGCCCACUGAAAUUUUAAAAGGCCGCAGUAAUUUGACUGUGCAAAGGUAGCAUAAUCAUUAGUUUUUUAAUUAAAAGCUUGUAUGAAGGGUUGGACGAGGUAAAAACUGUCUUUAUUUAAAUUAUAUUAGAAUUUAAUUUUUAAGUUAAAAAGCUUAAAUUUAUAUAAAAGACGAGAAGACCCUAUAGAUCUUUAUAUUAUUAUUUAAUAAUAGUAAUUAAGAAUAUUUUAAUAUUUAUUUUAAAUAGUAUUUUAUUGGGGUAAUAAAAAGAUUUGAUAAAUUCUUUUUGAUGUAUGACAUUGAUUAAUGAUUUAAUGAUCCAAUAAUUUUGAUUAUAAGAUUAAGUUACCUUAGGGAUAACAGCGUAAUUUUUUUUGAGAGUUCUUAUCGAUAAAAAAGUUUGCGACCUCGAUGUUGGAUUAAAAAUUGUUUUAGGCGCAGAAGUUUAAAAAUUUGGUCUGUUCGACCAUUAAAUUUUUACA
rnacentral:rRNA from 1 species